rnacentral:rRNA from 1 species
GACGGAGGAUGCAAGUGUUAUCCGGAAUCACUGGGCGUAAAGCGUCUGUAGGUGGUCAAAUAAGUCAACUGUUAAAUCUUGAGGCUCAACCUCAAAAUCGCAGUCGAAACUAUUCGACUAGAGUAUAGUAGGGGUAAAGGGAAUUUCCAGUGGAGCGGUGGAAAUGCGUAGAGAUUGGAAAGAACACCGAUGGCGAAGGCACUUUACUGGGCUAUUACUAACACUGAGAGACGAAAGCUAGGGUAGCAAAUGGG